rnacentral:tRNA from 1 species
UGGUGAUUGGCUUGUGGUUGAUGCUGGCGGCGUUCAUGGUGCCGCUGAGCGGAAAGUUGAGCUCGGUCACCACCGACAGCGCCGC